GAACUUAACUAUACUUGAGAGAGAGAGAGAUCACAAAGCAGCAUAGAGAGCGAGAAGUGUCCAGUGUCCCAGUGCAGCUUAUUAGCUGGGCUGCAUGUCUCUGAGGACUUCCUGAGGAUCUAGACAGAGUUGCUCCUGGUCUGAGCCACCAGCAGACAUGAGACAGUCGAUGUUCUGGCUGGCCACAAGGAGUUAGUCAAAUGCAUGGACAAGUUCUGCACUUGACUGGCAGAAGAAAAAUCAUGACAUCCAAAGGAGGAGAUUGUACAGAAUAAAGGCUGAGAGGCUUGGACAGAUGAAUAUGACAAAGCUUUUUCAGAGACUAAAGACUUGCUGUUACCCUUGCAGAUCUUAACACAUUUUGAUCCUGAUUUGCCAAUACAAUUAAUGUGUGAUGCAUUGUGAAUCCCAUGUGGGGUGAGAGCAGUCACAUCCCACAUUAUGCUCACAGUAGAGGAAAAAACCAAUUACCUUUGCUUCAAGGACAUUGAGCAAAGGAGGAAGCAACUAAGCUAGAACAGAACGGGAGAACAGCCAUUACCCUUCAGAAUAUGUUGGUUUUAUCUGGACUUAUACGAAUAAGAUUUCACAGUUCUGGAUGAUCAUCUCAUACUCAAAUACCUGGACCUUACUUGGCAAUUACAUAAGCUAGCAAAUUGCAAAGGUGAACUGUUAUCUAUAUUGAUCCUUAAAUGUUGCACUAGAUGGGCUCAUCAAGAUUCAGUUUGCUAUUUCAAAACCCAGUAUGAAAUGUUAAGGAGAGGAUACCUACCCUUUUGAGGGUGACUUAAAAAACUCAAAGUGAACACAGUUACUGUAC